AGAUGCGAUCAUACCAGCACUAAAGCACCGGAUCCCAUCUGAACUCCGAAGUUAAGCGUGCUUUGGCGAGAGUAGUACUAGGAUGGUGACCUCCUGGGAAGUCCUCGUGUUGCAUUCC
rnacentral:rRNA from 2 species